GAACGCAUCUUGCGCUCCUUGGCAUUCUGAGGAGCAUGCCUGUUUGAGUGUCAUUAAAUUCUCAAUCCUCUCAAACUUGUUUUGUAGAGGCUUUGGAUUUUGGAGUGUUGCUGGCCUUUCAAAGUCGGCUCCUCUUAAAUGUAUUAGCUUGUAUAUUUUUGCAGAUAAGCUUUAGUUUGAUAAAUAUCUAUCUAAUUGCUUUGAAGCAAAUGUCAGCUUCCAAUUGUUGUUUUACAGCACUUUCUUGACAUUUUUGACCUCAAAUCAGGUAGGACUACCCGCUGAACUUAAG
rnacentral:misc_RNA from 1 species